UUGAAAAGGGUCAUCAAUACAACAUACACUUGGAAAUUAAAAUGUGUCCUGGAGGGGGAAGAUCGUGGAUCGUCGACCGGUAACAUGAAUGUAUGCGGUAUCGGGUAUACCGUAACACACCGUGUACGUAAACGUAUGUAUAAAAUAUAUAAUAUUUUGCCAGCGUCACAAGUCGUAAUUACAAAACCGAACACUAUAAACGUUAAUUAUUGCCGUCCAAUUAUUUUUCCUCCAUGAGUUACAUUCUUAUCAGAUUUCGUAAAACAAAAAUAUGAAACCUAACCAAUAAUGAAAAAACUACACACAUCAACAGACAAGGAGUAGCAGCAGCUGACCUUACUGACAUCAGCCAUCAUUCCUUCUACUCCCCGCUGAUCCCACCACAAGCCGACUUACAUCACCGACUACCGAACGACAAAGGAAUAAAUUUAAGCACGUGAUACCUAUGUGUUCCAAUAACACGAACAAAUUGAAACGCUCGAAACCAUUCCAAUACUGCCAAUCGAUAACGACAAAAAGAUUUAAUGCACUUGAGCUGACCGACCGAGACAAAAUAACUGGAAUGUUAACAUUAAACAGGUAAGAAAAAAAGUUUACAUUUAAUUUUCUCAUAUUAUGUUUUAUUUCAGAAAACACGUCGUUUGGUACCCACAUGAAGAAGUACGGACUGUGGGGAGGUUCAACUCGUGGGAUUUAUUUGCAAUUACAACUAAAUCAAAUUAAAUUAACCAACAGUCAUUUCAGUUCAUUCAGACAUUUAACUACCAAGAUCAAUUCAAUGGAGGAGGCAUGAAAUAUCAUCUGAGACAAGAAUAUUUGAAUUAAAGUGAUUUUUGAAGAAGUAUUGCAAUUUAUUUUAUUUCAUGGAUAAAUCAUAUAUUUCCAACCAAUCCUGUACCAAAUUAAUAAUUUUGUAUUUAAUAUUAACACUAUUAUUAAUUGUAGGAUUCUGGAAAUUUGAGUUGGUUCUCUCUCUCUAAAAAAAAAAAAGGUAAAUAUUAGUAAGUAUAUAUUGGAUUUAUUACGAUAAUUAUAAAAAUAUUAUAUUUAAGACCAAAAGUGAUAAAAAGGCAUUUUGUAAGUAAAUAAGUAACUGUUCCAUUAAAAUAUAUUUGAAACUUAAAUUAUAUAAUAAAAUAUAACAUUGAUCUUCUGACUUAUUAAAAAAAAAAAAAAUCUAUGCAAGGCAUUUAAAUAUUACAUUUGGAAUUGUUAUAAAUAUUUAUUUUCUAUUAAGAUGAAUUGGUAUCUAUGUCAGUUAUAGAUAUAGAUACUAACCUUAAUGUUAUUAAUUAUUUAUUUAAUAUGGUACCUUUUAAUAUAAUAUACGAAAGUAUUUUUCUUAACAUUAGAAUAUUAAUGUAAAAAUUAUUAACUUACCUUAUAUUCUGGAUUUGAAUUAGCAUUGUUAUUGAUAUCUGAACUUGAAGCCAAUGAUAAUUGUUUUUAAUUAAUUUAAUGGUUUGUUUAGUUCUAUUACGUGAAUUUGUUUUAUUAUUCAUAAAAGUGUUGUAUUUUGAACUUAUUUUUCAAAAAUAAUGUUUAAAAUUAAAUUCACAGCAAUCAAACUAAGAUAACAUUAAAUACUACUUAUUACAUAAUUUAUUAUCGAAAUAAUAUUAUUUUGCAAAUAAUCACAAUAAUUAAUACCAUAUUAAUAAAUUUAAAUAACAGUUACUUAUGGGUAGCAUAAUAUAUGAAAAAUAUACUACUACACUAAGUUGAUUUUAAGGCAAUUUAAUAAUUAAAGAGAUAUUAUAAUAUAAUAUACUACUUAAUUUAUAAAAAAUUAUUAUUUUUCUCUAUGUAGUCAUUACAAGCAUAUCUAACCUUUCUAUAUUAUUAUUGUAUCAUAGCUAUUGAAAUAAUCAAGUUAUUUACCUAAUAUGUAUUGUAAAAAUAAUCAAAUUACAUUUUAAAUAAAUAAAUUAACAAGCAAUUUUAUUAAACAUAUAUAUCAACAAAUAUUUAUCAAAGGAAUUGCAAGAUAAGAAAUUUCAAAAAAUUUACUAGAGGUGUUCGUUUUACAUGUUUUUACUGUGAGCGUGCAAUAUAAAUUAUAAUUUAGGAAGAAUUUUUCUCUAUUUAAAUUUGUUUUGUACAACAUUGGUUAUUUAUACGUUAGUGAAUACUUGAAUUUUUCACACAUAGUUAAAUAUUUUGAGAAUAUGUAUUUUACUCAAAUAAAAAUAGCAAAAAAAAAAAAAAAAUAAACAUUGACAGUAUUCUUAACUUUGAUAAAGUACACGCGGCUGUAAAGAAUAUGAUUAUACAUAUAUCCUCGAUACAAACAACAGUAGCGUAAUAACCAGUUCCCCUGCAAAAAUAAAAAAUAUGCCCCAAAAAUAUUGUUAUACCAAAUAUAUAUAAUCCUAAAAAAAACGCUUCCCGCAACGCAACUGAUAAAAAAGGUAUAAUGAUCGAUACUUUUUGACGAAAAGAUCAUUUGGUAGCAAAAACAUAAGGUACGUAUCAUACCAUAUAAUAAAAUAAUUUAAUGACAUAAUGGAUAAAGAAGUUAUGUGUUCGCAGACUUGCAUCAAUUCCGGACCUUUGCAAGUUUACCAUGUAUACAUGACAUCAUACAUCGAUGCAUGUAUCGAUACAUGACUCGUAAUUUCAAUAAAGGAAACCUAACCUAAAACACUAAAUAUAUGGGUAUGCUAAACCACCAUUUUGCGACUCGUUUAUCAAUGAUAAAAUAAUCGCGGCAACUUCGUAGUUCCAUAUUAUUAUAUGCUUAGAUCAUAUACUAUGGAUGGAGCCAUUUCCCGAUAUAUUGAAGCACAUAUAAACGACAAGUCUCUGACAUAGAUGUAUGAUGUGCGCAUGCGCGAAGCAAACCGUCGCAUAUUUAGUUGCUGACCGCUGAUUGAUAUUUAAAACAUCGCGCGUGUUUCAAAAUAAAUAUGCGACGGGUUUCUUCGCGCAUGCGUAUAUCAAGCAUCAAUGUCGGAGACUUGUCGCUUAUAUGUGCUUCAAAUUGAGUACACAGUCGAGAUGGGCAUGGCUCCAUCCAUAGUAUAUGAUCUAGGAUUAUAUGUGAUAAAUGAGUCGCAAAAUGGUGGCUUAGCAUACCUAUUGUCUGUAGUGCCCUACCUAACCUAACUUUCCGACAGAAUUGAGCCGCUACUAGCGCUUGCUUUUAAAGGUGACUAAAAAUCUAACUACCAGAGAUGGGUUAGGUUUUUAGUCGCUGCCAACCUGUAUGUUGGACUAACCUAACUUUUUUCUUUGUAAAUCACUAUGUGGGGGCCGAACUGUUUUCAUAUUGCUUAACCCAGUGGUUCUCAAUCUUUUUUGGUUCACGGCACGCUCACACACUUGACAACCAUAACAACUUCGCCGAAAACACUUCAAUAUUUAAUAACAUUUCUCGCGGCACACCGGUUGAGAACCACUGGCUUAAUCCAAGACUAAUCUAACCUAGCGGCUGAAACUUACGUAAAAUUAACGUAGCUUUGACGGUCGAGAUUUUAUUGUAUGCACAGAUUUCUAUACAGAACUAGAUAACAGAUUUCCGCUAUCAAUUAAGGUUUUUCGGUUGGCGUUAUAUGGUAUUUUAUAUAGUAAAUAUUAACUAUGUUGUACUGUAUUUUAUGAGGUCUAAACCUUUUUUUAAAAAACAGUUAUAAAUACUUUAUAUUAAUUAUUUUUCAUUUACUUCAAUAUCUUACCAUUAAAAACGAUGUUAUUCCUACUAUAUUUUGCAUAGUAAAUGUAAUGUUUUGCUAACCGACAAAAUGGGGGAAACCGAUACGCGAGCUUCAAUGUAAAUUAUAUAAAUAAUAUACGAGUUAAUUACCUAGUUAGUAUAGAAGUCUGUGGAUGCAUACUGUGACUGAGAGGGAUUUAUUUUGGUAGGAACUUAUUACUAUUCGUAGGGUAUUUCAAAUUCUAAUCAUGUAUAUUAUUUUAAACUUGCCACUGAUUAAAAGUGGAAUAGAAACGAGCAAUAUAACCAAGUGGGAUCUCGCACGGUAAAAAAAUUGCAGUUACGCCACCGCCUAACCUUUAGACUUUGUCUAUAGAGCAGUCGUUGUGGUAA